AUGCUUAUUGAUGUUGCUAUUGAGCAAGUGCAGGGGCUAAUUACCUUUUUUAAUGGGUAUAGAGACACUGGUUUUUGUAAUGCAUUGGAAACAGCAAAAGAAAUUGCACUUGAAAUGGAGAUCGAUCCUACAUUUCGUCAAAAGCGUGAGAUUAAAAGAAAGAAACAAUUUGACGAAAACCCAGAUGAUGUGUUAAUUUCUUCACAACCUGCACAUGAAUCAUUUAGGAGAAAAUAUUUUAUUCCUGUUGUUGAUCAGGCUAUCAGUUCACUUACAACAAGAUUUGAGCAAUAUGAAUCAUUCCAAAAGAACUUUGGUUUUUUAUUUACUUCUGAUGCACUAAAAUCAUUGGAUGAGAAGAGCUUAAAAUAUUCUUGUAGUGUUCUUGAGGCUGCACUAAAGAGUGGGGGGAAAUCAGACAUUAAUGGUAGUGAAUUAUAUGUUGAGCUAAAUUUACUUAAAAGUUUCAUUCCAAAUGAUAAUAUGGGGCCGGUUGAUAUCUUGAAAUUUCUUAAACGGCUAGAUUGUUUCCCUAAUGCAACUAUUGCAUAUAGAAUUUUGUUAACUAUUCCUGUGACCGUCGCAUCAGUUGAGAGAAGUGUCUCCAAAUUGAAAUUAUUGAAGUCCUAUCUACGUUCAACAAUGACACAAGAAAGGCUCAGUGGAUUGGCUACUAUAGCAAUUGAAAAUGAUAUACUGGAGGGGGUUUCUUAUGAAGAUCUAAUUGAAGAUUUUGUAUCAAGAAAUGCUCAAAGGAUGGCACGCUUUGGCUAA
rnacentral:rRNA from 1 species